GUUCAGACUACGUCAGAAUCCAGGUAUGCUCAAUUUUGAUUGGAUAUCGAGGUUUUGUUUUGGUUGCUUAGAAAACUGAGUUCAAGGAAAACAAUAUUGUUUUCUAUUGCUAACACUACACUAAAAUGUGAUCGCUAAAACUCUUAACAUAAAGAAUACGGAAGCAAGAAUUUGUUGUUUUGCUCCAUUUUUCUCGAUAGCCAAACAGGGUUUAGAAAUCUGGUUUCUAUUUUUAUUUUUUUAGUUACCGGAUAGUGAUUGACGGCGUGAAACGUUUGUAGGCAAAUGGAUUGACGAGCG
rnacentral:misc_RNA from 1 species